CUUUUGAAUCGCCGCGAACCGAUCCAAAGCAACUACGCGCUGGACUACCACGUGCCUCAGGAAUCUGAAGACACACCAAUAAAGACGGAAGCGCCUUUGCUUCUGUGUUCCUGCCAGUUUUCAUCUCCACUUGUUCCCUUAAUCUGGACUCCUUCCUGCUCUAGCUGAGCUAAGUGACAGCUUUAGCCACACGAGAGGCCAGCAUCCAGAAAAAAAA